UCGAGCUGAAGACAGGAUUUUGGCUAUAAGCUAAAAUAAACUUUAGACCUUAUUUAAAAUCAAUAAUAUACAGAGUGAAACAGUGUUAAACAGAGUGAAUAUAUUCACCUACAAUGUGGAUUUGAGGCAAAUUAUGGAAGAGAGGGGGAGAAAGAAGCCUAAGGAGACUGACAGGACUGAAGGAGCAGAUCUGAUGGAGUGUUAUUUCCUGAACGCGUUGUUUCGAAUCUUUACACUUGGCUUGUGGUUUGUGAUUUGGAGACAAGCUGAGCGUGCUAAUUGCUGAAGUGGAGACAAAGCAGCAGUGUGAUUACUAAGAUGUGCAAAACAGCAAUCAAAAAACACAUAUACCUGCCUCCACAUGCUCGUCUACUGAUGCACUGGGCUCUCUGGAGUGAUUUCAAUCCAGUAGCAGCCUUUGAAAAAGCACAAAGAGAUGUUUGUUUUCAUGAGGAGAGGGAGAGAGAGUGGGUUUACUUUUAAGUAGGCGAUGUUUGUACAUAUAACAUUCAAAUGAAUAAGCUGGAGGAAUGUUUAUGUUGACAUUACAAGUAAAAUGUGACGAGGCUUCAGGCUAAUUGCUCAGCGAGAUGUGAGCUCACACUAGCCAUCCAUGCAGUAAUGCUCUCUUCAUAAUGUUUAUUUGUACACACAUCAUUAAUGCAGUGUCUUCUUCCCCUGACAACCCUCACACCUCCCCCUGCUCAUGAACUGCUUUACCACAAAGCAAGGCUCGACAGGUGUCCAGCUUUGUGGUUUUCUUGAAGACAUCUGGAUUCACUCUACCAAACACUUUCAUUUAGACUUUUAUCCCUGGUAAACUGGACCUGUGAUGGGAAGUUCAAAUCAAUUAAGUUUCCAAAGACAAUCUCUCCACUUCAGCCAAUCAAGCAUCUCAUUCACCUGAUUGAUUAUGUAAGUUGGGAUGGGGGGGGGCAGUGAUUAGCACUGAGCAUCAUACAUUUCUUACCCUUAUGAUAACCCACUCUUGUGUGAAC